UGGUAUGGAAAUGAAUGAUUCCUUCCUAGG
rnacentral:piRNA from 1 species